UGAAGGUCCUCUGGAUUGUAAACUUCUUUAUAUGGGACGAAACCCUCGGAUUCCUCCGGGAUUGACGGUACCAUAGGAAUAAGCACCGGCUAACUCCGUGCCAGCAGCCGCGGUAAUACGGAGGGUGCAAGCGUUAUCCGGAUUCACUGGGUUUAAAGGGUGCGUAGGAGGACUGGUAAGUCAGUGGUGAAAUCCCCGAGCUUAACUUGGGAACUGCCGUUGAUACUAUCAGUCUUGAAUACCGUGGAGGUGAGCGGAAUAUGUCAUGUAGCGGUGAAAUGCUUAGAUAUGACAUAGAACACCAAUUGCGAAGGCAGCUCGCUACACGAAUAUUGACUCUGAGGCACGAAAGCGUGGGGAUCAAACAGGAUUAGAUACCCUGGUAGUCCACGCCCUAAACGAUGGAUACUCGACAUACGCGAUACACAGUGUGUGUCUGAGCGAAAGCAUUAAGUAUCCCACCUGGGAAGUACGACCGCAAGGUUG
rnacentral:rRNA from 1 species